UACGGAGGGUGCGAGCGUUGUCCGGAAUCAUUGGGCGUAAAGGGCGCGUAGGUGGCCCGGUCAGUCCGUGGUGAAAGCGCGGGGCUCAACCCCGCGUCGGCCAUGGAUACUGCUGGGCUUGAGCACUGUAGAGGCAGGCGGAAUUCCGGGUGUAGCGGUGGAAUGCGUAGAGAUCCGGAAGAACACCGGUGGCGAAGGCGGCCUGCUGGGCUAUGGCUGACACUGAGGCGCGACAGCGUGGGGAGCAAACAGG
rnacentral:rRNA from 1 species